UACGUAGGGGGCUAGCGUUGUCCGGAAUCAUUGGGCGUAAAGAGCGUGUAGGCGGCCCGGUAAGUCCGCUGUAAAAGUCAAAGGCUCAACCUUUGAAUGUCAGUGGAUACUGCCGGGCUAGAGUCCGGAAGAGGAGAGUGGAAUUCCUGGUGUAGCGGUGAAAUGCGCAGAUAUCAGGAAGAACACCUAUGGCGAAGGCAGCUCUCUGGGACGGUACUGACGCUGAGACGCGAAAGCGUGGGGAGCGAACAGG
rnacentral:rRNA from 1 species